UUAAAGAUGGGGUUCUUCACACAUACACCUAAACCAGGCAGCACAGAAGGUUUACAACAGUGCUGUUACAAAGUGAUGUGCCAGACUUGGAGCUGUUGAGGUGUAGCUGAAGAGGACUGCCAUGGCCAAAGCUGUCCUGCCAGAGAAACAGCGACUUUUCGAUCUGCCAGUACACAACAUGAUUCUGGAUGAAAAUAUUCAGAACUCCCUCCAGGAGGCCACUUUGAUGCCCCAUCGCUUCAAAGGCAAACUUGGAUGUGCUGUUGUUGAUACCAGGGAGAGGUUGGAGAAAGCAGCACUUGGCAGUGCAACAGAACAGCUUCCAAUGAAUGAAUCAUGAGGAGGGCAAGGCAGAGGAACAUCCUCCAUCUCACAAGAAUUGUGCCAAGAAAUCAGCUCUAGUGGAGCCGUUUGAGGAUGAGGACCGAGAACUUAAUUCAAUGCUUCUUCCUAAUGUGAAAUUACUGUAGACUUAUUAAUGUAAGGUAAUAAGUUAGAGUAUACUUUGAACUGUUAACAAUCAAUGUAUUGUUAAAUUUCAAGUUCAAAUUUGUCUUAAGAAAAAGAUUAAAGAUGU